UCUUAGCUCAGCUGGUAGAGCAUGAGACUCUUAAUAUCGGGGUCAUGGAUUCAAGCCCCACGCUGGGCAAAA